rnacentral:rRNA from 1 species
UCAAAGGAAUUGACGGGUCUCCGCACAAGCAGCGGAGCGUGUGGUUUAAUUCGAUGAUACACGAAGAACCUUACCAGGGCUUGACAUGCAAGUGGUAGGAAACCGAAAGGAGACCGACCCUUCGGGGAGCUUGCACAGGUGCUGCAUGGCUGUCGUCAGCUCGUGUCGUGAGAUGUUCGGUUAAGUCCGCUAACGAGCGCAACCCUCGCUGCGUGUUACAAGUGUCACGCGGGACCGCCGGUAUUAAGCCGGAGGAAGGUGGGGAUGACGUCAAGUCCUCAUGGCCCUUAUAGGUGGGGCUACACACGUCAUACAAUGGCUGGUACAAAGGGUUGCCAACCCGCGAGGGGGAGCCAAUCCCAUAAAGCCAGUCGUAGUCCGGAUCGUAGUCUGCAACUCGACUACGUGAAGUCGGAAUCGCUAGUAAUCGUGGAUCAGAAUGUCACGGUGAAUACGUUCCCGGGUCUU